AUGAUGGUUUUCCAGGGCGACACAUUGCUCCAGAGCUGCUGUGGAAAUGGCUGGGGCAAACGAGCUGCUUUCCUGAUGGCUGCUUCAGUUUGCCAUUGGAGGAGCGCAGUGCAACAGCAACAAGAAGACCCCAAAGCAACCCAUGGUAGUGGUGUUUGUUGGGUGAGGUUUUGGCCUUUGCAGCUCAGUCCUGGAUCUGUUUGUGCAUGUGUUGAAUGGGAGCCCUGGGAUGAGGCUGGAGCAGAGAUCCAGGAAUCCUUGCUCGCAGGUGCUGGAGCACCAGGGCACUGUUUCCACAGGGAAACACCUUCCUGGAGUAGAGGUCUCCAAUCCUGUGGGAUUCAGGAAACUUGGCAGACGGUAGAGAGGGAGGAUUCAUGUUUGUGCCUACGAGCCACAGAAGAAUCCACUCUGGAGAAGCUGGGGCUUCACUGUUGGCUUCCUUCAUUGAGCCACUGGCCUGCAGGGCUGGGUUUCACCAGUUUCACGGUGUGGGUGCUCCACAGCAACAGCUCUUCCAGAGGCUGCUGGGCUUCUCUUUCCCUCCAGGGAAUUCCAGUCUCAGGUUUGGAUGUGCCAGUGCUGAGUGUGACACAGUCCUGCUGGUCCAGUGGCACAAACUGGUGUGUGAUAGCCUUCUCUGGAGUGGAAGAGUGCUUGUUCUAACCCCUUUCCUUUCCCUGCUUGGUUUCCUUUUGGCUUUCCUUUGUCUGGUGAGUUGAAAAGGCCCUCCUCCAUGGUCAGACACGGACACUAAGACUUGAAGGAGAAUACCAUGGGAGUUGAGUGCCUUUUUUGUACAAAAGGCUGUUCUUGUUGGCUUUCCCUUCCUGGCCAAACCAAAGAUUCCAGCUUCAACACCUCUAAACUCACAGAGGUUGUGCUGAUUGCUCUGCCUGUAUUUCUCCUUUGCUCACUUCUGCCUGAGCUACCGACCCAUGGUUCCUAUGACGGCUGGUGGAGCCCUUGUUGAUGCAGUUGGUGGAGUCUGGGACAUGCCCACUUCCAGAGCGAGUAUCUUAUCCAUAGUGAUUGCAGUGGUGGCAUGGAUAGUGACUAUAGGGGAUACAACUAAAAGCCUAGUAGCUCUCCAGCUAGAAGGCCAUGGUGGGUAUCUUGCAGUGUUGG
rnacentral:lncRNA from 1 species